GAUGAACGCUGGCGGCGUGCCUAAUACAUGCAAGUCGAGCGAAUGGAUUAAGAGCUUGCUCUUAUGAAGUUAGCGGCGGACGGGUGAGUAACACGUGGGUAACCUGCCCAUAAGACUGGGAUAACUCCGGGAAACCGGGGCUAAUACCGGAUAACAUUUUGAACCGCAUGGUUCGAAAUUGAAAGGCGGCUUCGGCUGUCACUUAUGGAUGGACCCGCGUCGCAUUAGCUAGUUGGUGAGGUAACGGCUCACCAAGGCAAAGAUGCGUAGCCGACCUGGGAGGGUGAUCGGCCACACUGGGACUGAGACACGGCCCAGACUCCUACGGGAGGCAGCAGUAGGGGAUCUUCCGCAAUGGACGAAAGUCUGACGGAGCAACGCCGGGCGAGUGAUGAAGGCUUUCGGGUCGUAAAACGCUGUUGUUAGGGAAGAACAAGUGCUAGUUGAAUAAGCUGGCACCUUGACGGUACCUAACCAGAAAGCCACGGCUAACUACGUGCCAGCCGCCGCAGUAA
rnacentral:rRNA from 1 species